rnacentral:rRNA from 1 species
AACGAACGCUGGCGGCAUGCCUAACACAUGCAAGUCGAACGAAGGCUUCGGCCUUAGUGGCGCACGGGUGCGUAACGCGUGGGAAUCUGCCCUUUGGUUCGGAAUAACAGCUGGAAACGGCUGCUAAUACCGGAUGAUGACGAAAGUCCAAAGAUUUAUCGCCAGAGGAUGAGCCCGCGUUGGAUUAGGUAGUUGGUGGGGUAAAGGCCUACCAAGCCGACGAUCCAUAGCCGGUCUGAGAGGAAGAUCAGCCACACUGGGACUGAGACACGGCCCAGACUCCCACGGGAGGCAGCAGUGGGGAAUAUUGGACAAUCGGCGCAAGCCUGAUCCAGCAAUGCCGCGUGAGUGAUGAAGGCCCUAGGGUUGUAAAGCUCUUUUACCCGGGAAGAUAAUGACUGUACCGGGAGAAUAAGCCCCGGCUAACUCCGUG